AUUAAAAUUUUCGAUUAGAGAUAUUGAUCUUGCUGUAAAUAGUAUAAAGAAUUUUCUAGCGAAAUUGCAUCUGAUUUGAAUACUUCUACACCGUUAAACUUGCAAACGGUAUAUAUUAACCAUUAAAAAUUGUUGAUUUUAAACCCUUUCGAUCUCUAGAUAAAUGAUAUCGAAAAACCGUAAAAAUUAUUUUCUGGACACUUCAAAUAUGUUAAAUCAAGUCUAACGGAGCCGAUUAUCGAUUCGAAAACGGUAUAUAUAUAUAUCGGAAGUAUAGAGGAUUUGAUACUUCCGACCUUUUGACCCAGGAUUGAAUAGUAUUCUUUUAGGGUUGAGUGGUCCCCACAAGGUUGUAAUAUUAAUCCAAAGGUUAGAAAUGAUCUAAGGACCAAAAAGUCAGAAACAUCAGAUACUCUAUACUUCCAAUAGCAUAAUAGCUCUACUCUCUCUCUCUCUCUCUCUCUCUCUCUCUCUCUCUCUCUCUCUAUAUAUAUAUAUAUA
rnacentral:lncRNA from 1 species